AAACAUGUGUACUACACAUGUCCUUCUACCUCCUCCAUUUUCCAAUCAUUUUGCUUUGGCUCUUACGUCAUUUUUUCAUCUUUUCCAUAAUCUUCUACUUUUUAUAUUUUUCAUUCUCCCAUACUUACUGUUGGCGAAGAAGAGACUUUUAGAAAUUGAUGGAAAAUUAGAGAAGAUUAAUUCGAGUCACGAGCUGGUGCCUCAAUUUUGGUGAUGAAAUUUCACAUUUGACUACCGAGAUUGGAGGUGUAAGAUUUUAUCAAGAAGAAUUGAAUGGGAAUACAAAAAGACUUUGUGAGAAAACUUCUCAAAGGUUCGUACUAUAUGGCAACUGAUAGUCAUUUUUGGGGAUUUUCCUCCUUUUUUUUCUCCGUAAUUUUGUCCCAUUGUAGAACUCAACUUUUAUACACUGAUAAUCUAAAAGAUAACUAUACGCUUUGGCUUCCUUGACGUUCCAAAAUUCGUAAGUAAGCUAAUAUGUACUUUGAGUUAGUUUACCUAAAUCAACUUUAGCAUUAACCACACGAUAUAAGUUGAUUAUAAUAGAAAGGCCUCUAUGUAGUGUGGUUAUGAUUGGUGAAAUUUGUCAUCUAAAUAAAUGAUUUUCUUUUUUCCAACCUAUGUAAAUCCCACUAUCCAUUUACAACACAUGUUAUUCUAUGUUAUAAGCUGCUACUACUACUACUACGUGGCUCUCUGGCUCACAAUUCUGUCCUGCACGGAAGAAGAACAUGUAUGUCUACCAAGAACUAAGGAGAGGAACAUUAAAAAGGCCAAAUUGUUCGUCGCAAGUGAGGUGGAAAGGAAAAAAACAUUUUUUGAAUCUGAAUCUUCAAGCAGCGGUAUCUCAAUUGAACCACCCACACCAAUGAAGAAGCUGUGAAAGGUCAUUCGACUAGCAUGCAACUUUUCCAAGUUUUUGGGCCGCCUCAGUGAUUCAAAUUUUGCGUCAAGUGGAUAUACUGCACUCAUUUAGGUAUGUUGUAGUACACUUUCGUCUAAAUAAAUGUUCAAUAUUAAGAUAACUUCACCAUAAAACUAUCACCUUUUGGCUGUAAAAUUGUGGAAUUAAUGUAGUAAGUUCAGCUUCAGUUGUUUGUUGUAGUCAUCCUGCAAUGAGUUUAUUAUUUCCUA